rnacentral:rRNA from 1 species
CCUACGGGAGGCAGCAGUAGGGAAUAUUGCUCAAUGGGGGAAACCCUGAAGCAGCAACGCCGCGUGGAGGAUGAAGGUUUUCGGAUUGUAAACUCCUUUUGUUAGAGAAGAUAAUGACGGUAUCUAACGAAUAAGCACCGGCUAACUCCGUGCCAGCAGCCGCGGUAAUACGGAGGGUGCAAGCGUUACUCGGAAUCACUGGGCGUAAAGAGCGCGUAGGCGGGAUAGCAAGUCAGAUGUGAAAUCCUAGGGCUUAACCAUAGAACUGCAUUUGAAACUGUUAUUCUAGAGUAUGGGAGAGGUAGGUGGAAUUCUUGGUGUAGGGGUAAAAUCCGUAGAGAUCAAGAAGAAUACUCAUUGCGAAGGCGACCUGCUAGAACAUAACUGACGCUGAGGCGCGAAAGCGUGGGGAGCAAACAGGAUUAGAUACCCUAGUAGUC